rnacentral:lncRNA from 1 species
AGUUGAAAGGAAGAAAGCUGAAAAUUGCUUAGAUCUGUUAUGUAUAGAGAGACAGAGAGAGAGAGAGAGAGGUAACCCAACGAAAUUGAAUCAGGUAACACAAAGUUCCCUGAUGCUAUCACUUUAUUGAAUACUAGAAGUCUAGAAUAGCGUACAUAACAUAUCCAAAGCUUUACAACUAAACCGUUCUCUCUGGUAUAUGUUUCAUAUACACUUCCAAACACACCAACACUAGGUAACACACUUCCAAACACACUAGCAAUAGAGAACACACUUCCAUACAUCCUAACACUAGAGAACUCAGAUCAAAACAUAUUCACAACUUGACACAAAACAACCUAAAUUUAUUCUGAGAUGGUUCAGCUGUGUCCUUCUAUACUUGCCUUAGACAUUCAUUCGUGGUUUUCCCAUGCUCCAUGCAUCUAACUUCUUUACCAUCACAGGUGUGCUUCCAUUGUUGAAAAGAUAUAAAUGAGUGUUCGCCCCUUUUGCUAAAGUUGGAUAUGAUCGAGAGGUAAUGCAGGUUUAUACUCCAGCACCAAAACUUUCAACAACUGAAUGAUCGAUCUAUGGAAAGAAAAGUAGGGAAGAAAAAAAAAGUUAGAUACCAUUAAAACCAUACUAAAAUGAUAAAUUAGAGAAGCAUAUUUCCAGUGGGAAAAAAAAUUAGAGAAGCAUAUUGAAUAUGAACAUACCAAACUCCUAAGUGAUAAACUCCCGUCCUUGACAUCAAUAUUUACAAACCCUCCAAAUGAUGGUUUAUAGUUGUCUGGAUCUAAAGAGGACCUGCAUUACAUUCAAAUAAUAGUAAUAAUUAAACAAAUUAGCAAGUACUUAAUUAAAAUAUGCUUGGAUUCAAGAGACAUUAUGUCAAAACAAAUAAAUGAACUCACAUUUUUCCUCCAGAGCACAUCAACACAACAGGUUUAUCUUCGAAUUUAAAAACAUGGAAGAACACAGGAGUAUAUUCCUCUAUGUUUUGGGAAGCCAAAGUUAAAAGUCCAAACGGACCUAUUCCAGCCAGGGUAUUAGGAUCCUUGCCUCCACAGGCUUGUUCAGCAUCGACCCAAGUUGGAUCGAAUGGUUCAGCAUAUUCUAAACUAGACAAACUAAAUGUAACUUCAACAUCAGCCUGGAAAAAACAUACUAAAACAAUUAGGUAAAGAGGCAAAAACACGUCAUAGGUAAAUGACAAUAUGACAUUAACAAAGUUGUACAAAUGUAGUAAAUCAUCUGGUGAUUUCAAUGUAAAUCACUACUUCCACCAGAUAAUUAUUUAGCUACUUAUUCAAAAAAGAUUACUGGUAAACUUAUUGAAGUUAAAAUUGUUGAAUUGAAAGAAAUUCGAGUUAGAGCAUUUUAUCAAUGGUAGUCAAUUACUGGUAUUAGAUUUAGUGGUGAUAAUGUGGUUUACUGCUUAUAAAGAAUUCGAGUUAGGGUUACUUAUGAAGGUUGUUGUAUUUAAUAUGUGAAAUUACAUAUUGACCCAUUUUUAUUUAUUUUGUGUAGUUACAAAAAUACCCCAAAUUGAAUGAAUUUCUCUUCAAUUAAUUUAUCAAUUUCAGCAUAAUUGAAAAGAUAUAGUAAAACCUCGAUAAGAUAAUACCCGAUAAAUUAAUUAUCUCCUUUAAAUAAUAUUUUUGGCUGGUCCCAACUUGGGCAUAUGUUGAUAAAUUAAUAUUUCGAUAAAUUUAUUAGAUAAUUAAUACAUUUUAGAAAAAUCCUUGAAGGCCCAACUAAUAUAUAAAUUAAUAUUUUUUUGAUAUACAAAUAUAUUUUAUAUUUUUUUAUAAUGAAAGUCAAUUAUUGUUUUUUUUUCCUCAAAAUUGAUUUUGGUUUGAACCUCGUCUCUAAAUUUUUGUAGUGUGAUGAGUUGAUCUGGUGUUGUAUUUUGUAUUGCAAGAAGAAAUUAUUCCAAUAUCAUUAUCGAUUUUAGUGUUUCUUUUCGUGGAACCGGUUCUAGAAUAAAAUGAUUAUUCAGCUUCAUCAUGUUAGCUCCCUAAAAAGAAAGACAUACAUGAAAAUAUAUUGUUUAUGUAAAUUAAUAGUUUAUUAAUUAAUCGAUGAAUUAAUAUCUCAUUUAAUUAAUAAUUUUCUCUAGUCUCAAGGCUAUUAAUUUAUCGAAGUUUUACUGUAUUUUAAUUAUGCUUGUGAUUUGGUCCAACUGGGUACGGGCUGGACUUGAUUAUACUUGGGAUUGGGUAUUCUUUUAAUUUUUUUUAUUGGGCUUAAUUAUUCCCAUGGUCUAAUUGGGCUUAAUUAUAUCUGUGAUGGUGGUCCACUUUUGCCUAAUUACAAAUAUACCCAAACUUAAUCAAAAUUCUCUUCAAUUAGGCUAUCAAUUCCAGUCUUAUUGAUAGCCUAAUUGAAGAGAUAUUUUCUUAGGGGUAUUUUCUGCUUUAAUAUAGUAUAAUAGAUGAGAUAUUAAGAAAAGAAAUUAUUUUGUUAAUUAUAUAUGUAGAUAUAUAUAUGCAUUUUAAUAGUGGUGAUUCAUGAUGAUGAUGAUGAUGAUGAUGAUGAUAAGUAAUAAAAAUGAAUAAAACAGAGGAAAAACAUAUACCAUUAAUCCAAUGCAUUGGAGGUUGAAAGUGAUAUUCAGUUUUGUGAUCUGGAUCAAUAGAGGUUGCGCUGACAGAUUGAUAUUCAGGUAAAAUUCUAUGAAAACCUUCAACUCCAUUGUAGUUGAUGAGGUUUAAGCUUACAACCAGAAAAACCCAACAAAGUUUGGGUUUGAAGAUCUCCAUUGAUAGAGAAAAAAUCUGUGAAGGAUAUCGUAGGAGAGAGAGGAGAAGAACUGAGAAUGCUCAGAGAUUAAAAAGAUAAGAAAGCCUACUCUGUUUCCUCUGUAUUUAUAGAGUAGAGAAGAAUCUAACCGGACUUAUUUAAGCUUAAGGAGAAUGCCAAAUAAGGCUGCAUGGACUCCAUGCCAUGGAGUACUAGCUAGUUGGCGUUUUGUUCCAACGUUUGUUUUCUUUUAUCGUUUCUCCUGCUUUGUGAUACUUGUUUUUGCUCUGUGAUUUCCUCACUCACUCACAGUGCUCGGUCUUAUAAGCAUCACUCUUUCUAAUCUCUGUCUUUUCCAUCAAUAAAAAGUGUUAUUUACCAAAAUAAAAAUUAAAAAUGAAAAAAAUCUGUAGGAUCAUGUUAUAUUAUGCUAUAAAGGACUGUAAUAGAGCCAUUUUCGCUCAAUUCUAUUAAUUACUGCUUCGUAAUUUUGAUUUUAUAAAAUAACAGUAUAGAAAUAAGUGAGACAGAUAUGUCAUAUGAUAAGAUAUACUGUAGAGUUCUCGAUCACGGCAUGGCCAACAUACACAGGUACUGGAUCGGGAAAGAAAAUAUGGGAAAUAGUACAUAUUGCUGUGUUAUGGACAGUAUGGAAACAGAGGAAUGACUGCAGUUUCAGGAAUGCAGGGUCUGACCUGAAGGUGAUCUAUAUAUGCAUCAUGACUGUCAAGGAAUUUAUAUGGAACUAGUUGGGUGGUAACAGUAGAAACAGCGAUCAUCAUUCACCUCUUUGUAAUUUGCUCUGCACAUAAUAUAUCCCCAUGGCAAAAAAAUGCCAGUAAAAGCAUAUUACAACACGCCAAUAUUAGAUAUCCAGUUCGAAGGAAGAAAGCUGAAAAAUGCUUAAAUCUGAUUUUAUGUAUAUAGAGAGAGGUACUACUGUACUAACCCAACGAAAUUGAAUCAGAUAACAAAGUUCCCUUGAUGCUAUCGUAAACUAAUUUAAGCAUACUAUUUUUUCAGCAAAGACAGAGCACAUCUAAGAUGUUAGGAAUACGAGGCAGUUGCAUAUAUAUCAGAAAGAUAAACAUAACAUCUCCGAAGCUUUACAACUCGGUAUAUGUUUCAUAUACACUUUAACCACUAAAACACAAGAGAACACACUUCCAAUUUCCAAACAUCCUAACACUAGAAAGCUCAGAUCAUAUUCACAACUUGACGCAAAACAACCUAAAUUUAUUCUGAGAUGGUUCAGCUGUGUCCUUCCUAAAGAUGUCUUAAAUAUUCAUUCGGGGUUUUCCCAUGCUCCAUGCAUCUAAAUUCUUUACCGUCACAGGUAUGCUUCCAUUGUUGAAAAGAUAUAAAUGAGUGUUUGCCCCUUUUGCUAUAGUCGGAUAUGAUCGAGAGGUAAUGCAUGUUUUUCCUCCAGCACCGAAACUUUCAAC